UGAUCACAGGGGGAUAUUUGUCCUUCCUUGGUGGAAUUAACGUAUUGUUGGUAUUCAUGUCUUUCGAUAUUGCAGGGUCUCAUGUUCCAUCUUCGUUAGAUAUUUCUUCCAUUGACAUUUGAUGGUAGUUUUUGGUUAGAGGCCAGUUCUUGGGAUGUCCCGAUCUGUCUGAUAAUUCAACUUUUGUCCCUCCUUCUGAUUGUGGUCUAUCUGCCCCACAUGUGGCUGGGUUUACCACUGGCUUUGGUCCGGAGGACCCUGCCCCUCCUGGGCCUGCUGAUGGCAUUGUUCGGUGCACUUCCUCUACACAUUCCGUUGCAGGCACUCCUUUUGUUUUUCCUGCAUGGGCCGCUCUUCACUGACUCUUCACUGCCGUAGAGUAUUCCGAGGCCUUCCUUUUGGCUUCCAAUUGCUCUUCAGUGCUGAAAUAGUAGAUUUAUUGAAACCUGGCUGGCUUGGUCGUUCAUACCAUGGCGGUCCCCACCAAGUUUGUUGUGUACGGUACCUGAUGUCCAUGGAUAGAUUGGGACUACAAAAGCUAGCAACAAAUUCUAAGGGGUGUGCUUCAGCUUAUAUUUACCAUGCUUACAAGUAUGCUCACAUCAUUUUUCCAUGAUAUCGACCACCUCGCUGUGCAACGGAGACCGCAGCUGCGUAGUCUGUUUCCAGAUUUUUUGCCGCUCUGACCCUUUUGCUCUACUCGCAUGAAAUAAGCAGAUGAAUUCACGAAGAUUGACAGCACAUGGGAUUGUGGAAAUUGAUGCAUGUGUCCUGAACAACGAGGGUUCAUGGAGAGAAAAACACAGUUCUGUCAUGAAGCAAUUAUACUCUUCGCCUUCUUGAGGCCUUAUUAGUUCACAACAGAUUUCUCUACGCAUGGAUAUUUUCCAUGUAUAUGCUCAUGGAACCAGCACUGCCUAUCUUAGUCUUCAGUUCAGUCAGAUGUAUGCUAGACAUCUCUCAUAGGAACGUGCAGCUCCAUUUUCAGAUCAGACCAACAAGCAGAGAGCAACCCUACAUGGAAGUGUCCGUUUCUCAUCAAUUGAACAUAACAAGAUGUACCGAAUAAUCACAUAAUGCUGGCGCAGCGUGCCGUCGCGAACACCAGUGCCACAAGGCCUUGCGAAGGUCCACAUUAUCUGAGGCACAGAUAUUAGUUCACACACUGCACUACGCCUUCUGUAAUGAGAGCCAUAGGCACACAUAGUUUGUAUAAUAUGUUUUCUUUGACUAUGUAUUACCUGUUGCUUGAUUUUUUCCAGUGCUGAAUAUA